UAAUACAUGCAGUCGAACGAAAUAUUUUAUAUUUUAGUGGCGAACGGGUGAGUAAUAUAUUCCUAAUCUACUCUAGUGUGGGGAAUAACUAUUGGAAACGAUAGCUAAUACCGCAUAGGAUUUUUAUAGGCAUCUAUAAAAGUUUAAAGGCGCGCUUUGUAGCGUCGCUCUAGAAUGAGGGAAUAUCACAUUAGCUUGUUGGUAAGGUAAAAGCUUACCAAGGCGAUGAUGUGUAGCCAAACUGAGAGGUUGAUUGGCCACAAUGGGACUGAGACACGGCCCAUACUCCUACGGGAGGCAGCAGUAGGGAAUUUUCCACAAUGGACGAAAGUCUGAUGGAGCAAUGCCGCGUGAGGGAUGAAGGUCUUCGGAUCGUAAACCUCUGUUGUGAAGGAAGAAUAACUUAGAUAGUAAAUGAUCUAUGUUUGACGGUACUUUACCAGAAAGUCACGGCUAACUAUGUGCCAGCAGCCGCGGUAAUACAUAGGUGGCAAGCGUUAUCCGGAUUUAUUGGGCGUAAAGAGUGCACAGGUGGUUUAUCAAGUCAGUUGUUAAAUACCAAGGCUCAACCUUGGCUCGCAAUUGAAACUGAUAGACUAGAAUAUCGGUGGGGGUAGUAGAAUUCCAUGUGUAGUGGUGGAAUACAUAAAUAUAUGGAGGAAUACCAGUGGCGAAGGCGGCUACCUGAACGAUUAUUGACACUUAAGCACGAAAGCGUGGGGAGCAAAUAGGAUUAGAUACCCUAGUAGUCCACGCCGUANACGAUCUAGACUAGACGUUGGGAUAACCCAGUGUCACAGCUAACGCAUUAAGUCUAGCGCCUGGGUAGUAUGCACGCAAGUGUGAAACUC
rnacentral:rRNA from 1 species